rnacentral:rRNA from 1 species
UACGUAGGGGGCGAGCGUUGUCCGGAUUUAUUGGGCGUAAAGAGCGUGUAGGCGGCCAGGUAGGUCUGCUGUGAAAACUCGAGGCUCAACCUCGAGACGUCGGCGGAAACCAUCUGGCUAGAGUCCGGAAGAGGAGAGUGGAAUUCCUGGUGUAGCGGUGAAAUGCGCAGAUAUCGGGAAGAACACCCGUGGCGAAGGCGGCUCUCUGGAACGCAACUGACGCUGAGACGCGAAAGCGUGGGGAGCAAACAGG